CCUACGGGAGGCUGCAGUGAGGAAUAUUGGUCAAUGGCCGGAAGGCUGAACCAGCCAUGCCGCGUGAAGGUCAGUGCCCUAUGGGCGUUAAACUUCUUUUGUGCGGGAGCAAUAAUGGUCACGUGUGGCCAGACGAGAGUACCGUACGAAUAAGCAUCGGCUAACUCCGUGCCAGCAGCCGCGGUAAUACGGGGGAUGCAAGCGUUAUCCGGAUUUAUUGGGUUUAAAGGGUGCGUAGGCUGUGAGGUAAGUCAGCGGUGAAAUGCCCCCGCUCAACGGGGUGAAGUGCCAUUGAUACUGCCUGGCUGGAAUGUGGAUGCGGCGGGAGGAAUGUGUGGUGUAGCGGUGAAAUGCAUAGAUAUCACACAGAACACCGAUUGCGAAGGCAUCUCACGAAUCCGCGAUUGACGCUGAUGCACGAAAGCGUGGGUAUCAAACAGGAUUAGAUACCCUUGUAGUC
rnacentral:rRNA from 1 species